ACAUAUACUAGUUAUUUAUGCCAUAUUUGUUUCUUCAUAAAGGUCAUUUCUAUAAGUAAGCUCUUAAUUACAUAUCUUUUUACUAUCCUAUUUGAUACAAAGGCAUAAAGAGUCACCAAGUGUCUUCUAUUCUUGAAAAAAAUUAUCCUUCUUAGCCAAUCUACUUGUUUAUUUUCCACCUCUAGCUAUGGCAUACUAAAGAUAAUAUCAUAUCUAAGCUUUGUUACUCUGAACUUCCCUUUUAAGGCAUAGGUGUCACUUAGCUUUAAGGUUGCUUCUUCACUUGUCUUGUUUAAUAAGUUCUUUCAAUCAUCUGCUACGUAUAUAUUCUUUCCUUUGAUCACCUUUGUUUUAAUUUCAAGUAAAGUGGCAAUUGUGGUUAAGAUGCAAUUUUCUAUAGAACUACAAUCCACAAGCACUUGACAUGGUUAUCUUUUUAGUCGACCCAUUAGACACACUAGUCGAUCCUUUUGAUAGUUGUUUAAGGCCAUGUUGUUUGUCUCUGAAAAACAACAACUAUAGCUAGCAUGGGCUUUUAGUGCCUUUACAAAGGAGCCUUAUUUUCUUGCUCCACUUCUUCAUCAACUUAGUGGCCCUUGAGAUUGUAAAUCCAUUGUGAUUUAUUAGUGCUUGAACUUUGAUGUUUUAAAAAAUCUCUAAUCUAAUGGUCUAGCUUCCAAUAAUAAAAGCACAAUUCUUUUUGUGCCAAUAUUUGUCAUCUUUGUGGUGUCAAUGGUCCUUACAAAGCAUCAAUCUCUAUUGAUAUUGGUUGUUUCAUUAUAAUAUUGGCUAGUGGCAUAAGACUCUAUGCUAUAGGUUGUAUUUUAUGAUUCUUGAAAUCUAUAGCAUUAACCC
rnacentral:lncRNA from 1 species